rnacentral:rRNA from 1 species
UGAGGAAUCUUGCGCAAUGGGGGAAACCCUGACGCAGCAACGCCGCGUGAGUGAGGAAGGUCUUCGGGACGUAAAGCUCUGUCAGGCGGGAAGAAAUGCAUGGAGGUGAACAGCCGCCAUGCUUGACGGUACCGCCAGAGGAAGCACCGGCUAACUCCGUGCCAGCAGCCGCGGUAAUACGGGGGGUGCAAGCGUUGUUCGGAAUCAUUGGGCGUAAAGAGCGUGUAGGCGGCUUGGUAAGUCAGAUAUGAAAGCCCUGGGCUCAAACCGGGAAAUGCAAUUGAAAACGGCCGGCCUCAGUAAGGGAGAAGGAAGUGGAAUUCCUGGUGUAGAGGUGAAAUUCGUAGAUAUCAGGAGGAACACCGGUGGCGAAGGCGACUUCCUGGCCCUAUACUGACGCUGAGACGCGAGAGCGUGGGUAGCAAACAG